rnacentral:rRNA from 1 species
CCUACGGGAGGCAGCAGUGGGGAAUAUUGCACAAUGGGGGAAACCCUGAUGCAGCGACGCCGCGUGAGUGAAGAAGUAUUUCGGUAUGUAAAGCUCUAUCAGCAGGGAAGAAAAUGACGGUACGUGAUUAAGAAGCCCCUGCUAACUACUUGCCAGCAGCCGCGGUCAUACGUAGGGGGCAAGCGUUAGCCGGAUUUACUGGGUGUAAAGGGAGCGUAGACGGCAGCACAAGUCUGGAGUGAAAUGCCGGGGCUUAACCCCGGAACUGCAUUGGAAACUGUGCAGCUAGAGUGCAGGAGAGGUAAGUGGAAUUCCUAGUGUAGCGGUGAAAUGCGUAGAUAUUAGGAGGAACACCAGUGGCGAAGGCGACUUACUGGACUGUAACUGACGUUGAGGCUCGAAAGCGUGGGGAGCAAACAGGAUUAGAUACCCCUGUAGUC